rnacentral:rRNA from 1 species
UACGAAGGGGGCUAGCGUUGUUCGGAAUUACUGGGCGUAAAGCGCACGUAGGCGGAUCGAUCAGUCAGGGGUGAAAUCCUGGAGCUCAACUCCAGAACUGCCUUUAAUACUGGGUAUCUUGAGUUCGGGAGAGGUGAGUGGAACUCCGAGUGUAGAGGUGAAAUUCGUAGAUAUUCGGAAGAACACCAGUGGCGAAGGCGACUCACUGGCCCGAUACUGACGCUGAGGCGCGAAAGCGUGGGGAGCAAACAGG